rnacentral:lncRNA from 1 species
CCUGCCGACACCAGCAGUUCAGGUAUCAGCCAUCUGUAAAUGCUUUCACCUCCCACUUGCCUGUCCCAGCACUAGGAGCAGCUGGGGGUUCUCUCCAAGGCCUCUAACAGGGGACUAGCCUGCCUUUCCCCUAUUGCCUCCCCAGAAACCCAAGCUCAACCAGCUGCAGUUCCAACUCUAGCUGCACUAGAGCUAGGCUGACAAAGAUACAGUGAUACUGU